rnacentral:rRNA from 1 species
UACGAAGAGUCCAAGCGUUACUCGGAAUCACUGGGCGUAAAGAAUGCGUAGGCUGUCUUGUAAGUUGGGUAUGAAAUACCGGGGCUCAACCUCGGUGCUGUUCCCAAUACUGCUUGACUUGAGUUUGGUAGAGGGUGUCGGAAUUCUUGGUGUAGGGGUAAAAUCCUUUGAGAUCAAGAGGAACGCCGGAGGCGAAAGCGGACACCUGGGCCAAUACUGACGCUGAGGUAUGACAGCGUGGGGAGCAAACAGG